AAGCCACACUCUGUGGCAGAUGAUCAAAGUGGUCCUACAUAAUUUGAGCUUGCUAUAGCCACAAAGUCUAACCUAUUCUCGUGCUCUCUCCUCCAUGAGACAAGCCAUCAUAUAGACUUAGACAGA
ensembl:snoRNA small nucleolar RNA SNORA28